CGUUGGUAGUCAAGUUACCCAAUUUGAGAAGCUCGAUAUUAGCAUAUGGCCCGAGUAUAAAUCACUGUUCCGCCUGGGAUCCACGCACGAGGGUUCCCCUGAUUAACGAUGCUAGGCUGCUACAGUGUUUCUGGAAUAACUUCUUCUUUUUUUUCGCAAAAUUGCCCCCGCAAUUUCAAUUGAAAGGAUUUAUUAUCUCAUUAGGUUUUUCAACCGCUUUAGCAAAAUUUACGCUUGAAAAUGCUCUGAGGAAUUCGGUUAUGAUUUGUGUUUUAGAUGGUUUGCUACAACCGUCAUAAACCUCCAUCCCUGAACAGAAAACGAUGCAACCCACGAAGAAAUUGAGAGUCUCCGUUAACAACCAAAAAUCGAGAUCCAAAAUUCGACGAUCAGAAAUGAGAAAUCGAGCUGCUGCACAUGAAGGACUGGUUUGUUGCGGUUGAACUGAAUGGUUUGCGGCGAUGGCGGUUGAAGUUAAGGUCAACAAAGAGUCGAUCCCCAAUUUUUGGUUUGUGGAGAAUUGAUGGCAAUUGUGGAAUUUUGAUUUUAUGUUCAGUUGGUUUAGAGAGUUGAUUAAAAAAAAUUGUGAAGAAGAUUGAGAGAAAAUUGAUUUGUUAAUUGAUUUCGUGAAAUGGUUUGUGGGGACUUAGAUUGAGAGAAUUGAUUUUCCUGGGAUUGGAAUCGGUAAUUGGAGCCAUUGAAAUGGUUUUCUUGUGAAGACGUGGUUUUUUUUUUUUUUUUUUUUUUUUUUUUGGAGAAA